GACGAACGCUGGCGGCGUGCCUAAUACAUGCAAGUCGAACGCAGUUGCGAAUGGGUGAGUAACGCGUAGGUAACUGCAUCAUAGCGGGGGAUAACUAUUGGAAACGCUAGAUCAUACCGCCUACUGUGGGCUGGACCUGCGUUGUAUUAGCUAGUUGGGUGGGGAAAGGCUCACCAAGGCGACGAUACAUAGCCGGUCUGAGCGGAGGAACGGCCACACUGGGACUGAGAAACGGGCCAGACUCCGUCGGGGGGCAGCAGGAGGGAAACUUCGGCAAUGGACGGAAGUCUGACCGAGCAACGCCGCGUGAGUGAAGGAGGUUUUCGGAUCGGAAAGCUCUGUUGAUAGAGAAGCGGUAACUAACCAGAAAGGGACGGCUAACUACGUGCCAGCAGCCGCGGUAAUUC
rnacentral:rRNA from 1 species